GGGAGCAAAUCCCAAAAAUAAACGUCCCAGUUCGGACUGUAGUCUGCAACCCGACUACACGAAGCUGGAAUCGCUAGUAAUCGCGAAUCAGAAUGUCGCGGUGAAUACGUUCCCGGGUCUUGUACACACCGCCCGUCACACCAUGGGAGUCGGGAAUGCCCGAAGUCAGUGACCCAACCAUAUGGAGGGAGCUGCCGAAGGCAGGUCUGAUAACUGGGGUGAAGUCGUAACAAGGUACC
rnacentral:rRNA from 1 species